AUUGAACGCUGGCGGCAUGCCUUACACAUGCAAGUCGAACGGCAGCAUAGGAGCUUGCUCCUGAUGGCGAGUGGCGAACGGGUGAGUAAUAUAUCGGAACGUGCCCUAGAGUGGGGGAUAACUAGACGAAAGACUAGCUAAUACCGCAUACGAUCUACGGAUGAAAGUGGGGGAUCGCAAGACCUCAUGCUCCUGGAGCGGCCGAUAUCUGAUUAGCUAGUUGGUGGGGUAAAAGCCUACCAAGGCGACGAUCAGUAGCUGGUCUGAGAGGACGGCCGGCCACACUGGGACGGAGACACGGCCCAGACUCCUACGGGAGGCAGCAGUGGGGAAUUUUGGACAAUGGGGGCAACCCUGAUCCAGCAAUGCCGCGUGAGUGAAGAAGGCCUUCGGGUUGUAAAGCUCUUUUGUCAGGGAAGAAACGGUAGUAGCUAAUAUCUAUUACUAAUGACGGUACCUGAAGAAUAAGCACCGGCUAACUACGUGCCAGCCGCCGCAGUAA
rnacentral:rRNA from 1 species